UACGUAGGGUGCAAGCGUUAAUCGGAAUUACUGGGCGUAAAGCGUGCGCAGGCGGUUGUGUAAGUCAGAUGUGAAAUCCCCGGGCUCAACCUGGGAACUGCAUUUGUGACUGCACGGCUGGAGUGCGGCAGAGGGGGAUGGAAUUCCGCGUGUAGCAGUGAAAUGCGUAGAUAUGCGGAGGAACACCGAUGGCGAAGGCAAUCCCCUGGGCCGGCACUGACGCUCAUGCACGAAAGCGUGGGGAGCAAACAGG
rnacentral:rRNA from 1 species